GAGUUUGAUCUUGGCUCAGGAUAAACGCUGGCGGCGUGCAUGAGACAUGCAAGUCGAACGGACGAUCAGGGCUUGCUCUGAUCGUUAGUGGCGGACGGCUGAGUAACGCGUAGGUGACCUGCCCCGAAGUGGGGAAUAACUGCCCGAAAGGGUGGCUAAUACCGCAUGUGGUGGUGUGUUCAUUCACACCAGUAAAGCCGCAAGGCGCUUCGGGAGGGGCCUGCGUCCGAUUAGCUCGUUGGUGGGGUAACGGCUCACCAAGGCGACGAUCGGUAGGUGGUCUGAGAGGACGAUCACCCAGACUGGGACUGAGACACGGCCCAGACUCCUACGGGAGGCAGCAGUCGGGAAUUUUGCGCAAUGGACGAAAGUCUGACGCAGCAACGCCGCGUGAGGGAUGAAGGCCUCGGUUGU
rnacentral:rRNA from 1 species